rnacentral:rRNA from 1 species
GACGGGGGAUGCAAGUGUUAUCCGGAAUCACUGGGCGUAAAGCGUCUGUAGGUGGUCAAAUAAGUCAACUGUUAAAUCUUGAGGCUCAACCUCAAAAUCGCAGUCGAAACUAUUAGACUAGAGUAUAGUAGGGGUAAAGGGAAUUUCCAGUGGAGCGGUGAAAUGCGCAGAUAUCAGGAGGAACACCAAUGGCGAAGGCAGCUCGCUGGGACGGUACUGACGCUGAGACGCGAAAGCGUGGGGAGCAAACAGG